rnacentral:lncRNA from 1 species
CCCAGACUGAUCCUUUGCAUGGAUUUUGCUGCGCCUGUUUCCAAGGCUUAGAGCUCUUUAGGAGGUCUUGUUAUAAAUAUUCAGAUGUACAGAUUUUUAAUGAAGAGUUCGGUGGAUGCAUUCUAGAGGAUAAAUGGUCUGUGAAUGGAAACUUUUCUUCCUCAGAGUACAUCAACGUAGCAAUUGCUUGUAUGAAAAACUCUCCGAGACUCAAAUAAAGAGCAGCAGGAUGAGCUCCAAGGCCAGUAAGCCACUUGUAAAUACAAGUGGGCAUAGCAGCUUACAGAAGGCAGCCCAGUAUUUGUGCUGUUCUAAAGGCAUUGGGAACCAGCCAGCAGCUGAGCAGCAGCUAUUUGCAGAACUUGAAGAUCUACUCUUCGUUCUGCUUCUCUGCAAUUUGUCUCCAUUCCUAGACACCUGGUUCACACCCCCCAUACUCUGAUGAGCCACUCUUGGGCUACCGUUUCUUACAGCUGGCUGCUUUCAGCUGUUUCAAAUCUGGGCUGGAAUCACCUGGCUUUAAUUUAAGUAGCAAACAAAGGCAGCCUUCCCUAUGGGUGUGCUUUAGUUUCAUUGGGGUUGAGUUCCACAAAGAAGAAGUGCGCUGAGUGUGAUGCUUUAACAAAAGCAGCAUAUGUCCUAACAAGAAAUAAGGUCCUCUGCUGCUUUCUUCAUAUUGCCAUGCUGUCUUCAAAGGGCGCAUGGACAUCCAGGAGAUGGAUGCUCUGCAAAGCACCUAUGCCUGCAGGGAAAGCCGAAGGCGAAGAGCUGUGUCCUGGUGGCUAUUGCUUCUGUAACAACCACUCAGAUGAGAGAAGCUGAGAUCUUCCUGCUACCAUGGAAAGAAUCCUAGGGAAGAAGACCCAGGGAGAAGGGAGUUGAGAGGUGAGCUGUUCCAAUGAGUGCUGUGCGCCAUCACCAAUGCUUCAGAAGGAAGUAUGGCCUGCCCUCAGUCCUCCUCUGAGCCAACAAGAAAAUCAAAUAUACUAUUUUUAAAGGACUUCCCACGUUUUCCUCAGUGCCCCCGUGCUGCAGCUCUUCUUCAGGCUGGAAUGGUUGGGGUUCCUUCUGCAUCCAUCUGAUGUAGUGGCAUCUCAAAGGCUUUGCGCAGGUGUCCCUUGCUCCCAAGAGGAUGCUAUCAGGGGACAGCAGUGUCCAUGUCAAAUGUACAGACCUGAGGGCCAAAGGGUAAUUAAAAACAUCAUGAAAGUAAUUUGGUCGCUGAACCUGCUGUGGGUCCUGGGCAUCUUAAGGAGCAAAUACCACCAUGGUUUUUUCCCCUCAGGAAUACAAGGCUAACAGGACAACAGCUCAUCUGUGCAAAGCCCUGACUGCUCUCAAUUUGAAAAAAGCCUGUAGCUGAAUCUGCUGCAGUUUUAUAACACAACCACUAUUAAUGUAGCUGUCCAAACAGUUUGUAGGUUAGGGAAAAGAGAAAACUGCAGUACCAGUUCAUUUGUAGGAAGAUCGGAGGAGCAGCACCAGUGCCAUGUCUACAUGCCUUGGAGGGACCUGCUGUGCCAUACAACCAGCACACUUCCUCUACUGAUAUAUAGAGAGUUUAUAUGCAUAUAUAGGUAUGCAUCAGUGUCACAAAGAUUGUAAAAGGAUGGGGGCGUCUAAUGCACUGGUGAUGCAGUGGCACAGCUGCGCUGGAGUGGUGGGGUCACCAUCCCUGGAGGUGUUUCAGAACCAUGGAGAUGUCGCACUGAGGGAUGUGGGCAGCGGGCAUGGUGAGCUGGGCUGGGGUUGGGCUCGGGGGUCUUGGAGAGCUUUUCCUGAAUGAUUCUGUGAGCCUAUGAUCUCUCAUAGAAGGACAGGCUGAGAGAGCUGGCACUGCUCAGCCUGGAGAAGGCUCAGGGGGAUCCCAUCCACAUGUAUAAAUACCUGAUGGGGGCAAUAAGAUGGAACCAUUCUCUUCUCAGUGUUGCCCCAAUGAGGCAACAGGACAGGAAGCAAUGGACAAAGAUGAAAAUAAAACAAAAGUAACAAAAAAAUCCUACAAAAACAAACAAACAAACAAAAAAACAGCAAAAUCAAUCAGGAAAUUCCAUUUAAACAUAAGAAAAUCCUUCUUUAAAUUGCCACCUUGUUUGAACAUGGGAGCAGUUGCACAUUGAGGUGGUGGAUUCUCUGUCCCUGGAGAUGGACAACGCCAGGCUGGAAGCACUGGACAACCUGCUCCAACCAGCCCCGCUCUUUUUGGACCAGACAGUCUCUAGAGCUGCCUCCAGACUCAGUGCAUUUAUUUUAUGUUUCUGUAAUGAUUCUAUAAACUUUGUUUUUCCAAAAACGAUAGUGGGUUUAUCCUGCACAACUUUUAAAUCUGGUAGCUUGUUACAUUUUGUAGCUUCAUUUUGGUCCAUGGGAAGCAUAUUCCUGUGGAUGAAAGAGAUGCAGGGUUUAUUAAUCUGUCCAUUUUACAUUAACUAUCUGGGCAAAAUGAUAGGCAUUUCUUAUUUGAAACUUGUUAUAAAGAAACAUAUGGUCACGUACAUGAAGUGAGAAUAAUUUCAAGUUUGAAAUUCCAUCUAGACGCAGACAUGAAUACCCAAUAGCAACAAAGGAAAUUUGAAAGCAGUUUAGACUAAGCCUGGGGUAUAAUAAUCUGCAAAUGAAAUGCAAAUUCCUCUCAGCAGGAGUGCAAUAUGCUGUUGUCUCAACAGGGGUACUAUUUACUGUUGCUUUGGAAACGUGCAGGAGGGAAGCAUGGGCCAUUGCUUCGACAGAGGGUAAAGGCAGCUUGUACCUUUCUUCUGCUUGAAUUCCAAACCUGGCUUUUGGAAGUGGGCUGUUCACCCUAAUAGGAUGGGUUGUGCAAUAAUUAACAGUAAUUGCAUUCAUAUAAAGUCCUGUGGAAACCUCUGCUCACUCCUGGCCCUUCAUAUCACACAUCAGAACUGCCUUCCUGAUUCCCAACUUAACGCAGUCUUAGAGAUAUCCUCAUUGGGGAGCGAUGCUUAAACACUCCUACAUUCAUUAGAGCUGAACUAUCACUGUACUUCUGACAUCUCUCCAUUGCUGCUGGAUUGCUGGUAAGCAGCUUGACGGCUCUUUCAUCCACAAACAUUCCUCCCUUCAGCUGCUGGUACACAGCACUGUGCCUGGAAACCUUUCACACCUCCAUCUUUAUGGCCACAUAGAAGAAUCGUGUAACUAGAACUGCAAUCUGCAGCCGAUUGCAAUAGAAAAGGAAAUUAGUAUCCUGCAUUUAAUUAAUAUUUGUACUGAGAGAAUUGUUAAAAUCUAGCCAGCUGUUACCAUCCCUUUCAUUACUUUAAAUGUUGAUAACAUUUGUCUCAUACCAAAAAUACUUCAGCAACCAAAGCACUCAUGAAGACCGAUGGUGGAAAUUGAAAGAGAUUGUAUUUAUCACAGCAUCAAAGCUGCAAAUGCAGUGAGUGUGGAUGGGGGCGAGUUCUACUGUGCCAUACAACAGAAUCAGUACCAUUGCUCAGUGCUCCAAUAUUCUCAGAAAGAAAUGACUCCCAUGUUCAGAGAAACCAAACUUGUUUCUAAAGUGACAUAAAUUGUCAUUUCUUAAGUGAUCAGGCAAAAAAGUUAGAAGAAUAGUAACAACAAAAGACUGUCUGGAGAUACACUGUUGUUGUGUUUUAGUGAUUGUUGUUGUCAGUAUUUAACAUUAGAACAUCAUGCAGAACAAUGGCAGUUAAGGUUCUGGUUCCAUGUUACCGCCUUUUUGGGCAUUUUGUGUUCCCGGAGGGGAGGAGCGGCAUCCCCAGCGGACUUGGACAGAAGAGGAAGUAAGAUGGAGCUCUGGACUGGACCCCAGCCGCUCUCUGCCUCUGGCCGUCUUAGCCUGCCGUGGAGAAAAGCACGUGCUUCCCUAGCACUAUCGUGGUUUGACUCGUGCUUUAAAUACUCUCGGCUCUCUCAUUUUGUUUGAUUAAAUUUAGUAAAAUACCAUUCCUCCUCAG